rnacentral:snoRNA from 1 species
AUUCCAUGAUGCAAACAUUCUAGGAUGUAGUCUUGGAAGCGCUCCCAUGCUUCUGGAACAGAUUCAUCAUGUUGUUGCUGAAAACUUGUAAUCUUCCCACAGAGAGC